UACGUAGGGGGCAAGCGUUGUCCGGAAUCAUUGGGCGUAAAGCGCGUGUAGGCGGCCAGGUAAGUCCGUUCUGAAAGCCCGGGGCUACAACCCCCGGGAGGCGGAUGGAUACUGCUUGGCUCGAGUCCGGAAGAGGCGAGUGGAAUUCCCGGUGUAGCGGUGAAAUGCGACAGAGUAUCAGGAGGAACACCGAUGGCGAAGGCAGGAUCUCUGGGCCG
rnacentral:rRNA from 1 species